AUUGAACGCUGGCGGCAGGCCUAACACAUGCAAGUCGAACGGUAACAGGAAGACGCUUGCUUCUUUGCUGACGAGUGGCGGACGGGUGAGUAAUGUCUGGGAAACUGCCUGAUGGAGGGGGAUAACUACUGGAAACGGUAGCUAAUACCGCAUAACGUCGCAAGACCAAAGAGGGGGACCUUCGGGCCUCUUGCCAUCGGAUGUGCCCAGAUGGGAUUAGCUAGUAGGUGGGGUAACGGCUCACCUAGGCGACGAUCCCUAGCUGGUCUGAGAGGAUGACCAGCCACACUGGAACUGAGACACGGUCCAGACUCCUACGGGAGGCAGCAGUGGGGAAUAUUGCACAAUGGGCGCAAGCCUGAUGCAGCCAUGUCGCGUGUAUGAAGAAGGCCUUCGGGUUGUAAAGUACUUUCAGCGGGGAGGAAGGGAGUAAAGUUAAUACCUUUGCUCAUUGACGUUACCCGCAGAAGAAGCACCGGCUAACUCCGUG
rnacentral:rRNA from 1 species